rnacentral:rRNA from 1 species
AUGAAGAGUUUGAUCCUGGCUCAGGAUGAACGCUAGCUACAGGCUUAACACAUGCAAGUCGAGGGGCAGCAUCAUCAAAGCUUGCUUUGAUGGAUGGCGACCGGCGCACGGGUGAGUAACACGUAUCCAACCUGCCGACAACACUGGGAUAGCCUUUCGAAAGAAAGAUUAAUACCGGAUGGCAUAAUUAUUCCGCAUGGGAUAAUUAUUAAAGAAUUUCGGUUGUCGAUGGGGAUGCGUUCCAUUAGGCAGUUGGCGGGGUAACGGCCCACCAAACCUACGAUGGAUAGGGGUUCUGAGAGGAAGGUCCCCCACAUUGGAACUGAGACACGGUCCAAACUCCUACGGGAGGCAGCAGUGAGGAAUAUUGGUCAAUGGACGAGAGUCUGAACCAGCCAAGUAGCGUGAAGGAUGACUGCCCUAUGGGUUGUAAACUUCUUUUAUACGGGAAUAAAGUGAGCCACGUGUGGCUUUUUGUAUGUACCGUAUGAAUAAGGAUCGGCUAACUCCGUGCCAGCAGCCGCGGUAAUACGGAGGAUCCGAGCGUUAUCCGGAUUUAUUGGGUUUAAAGGGAGCGUAGGCGGGUUGUUAAGUCAGUUGUGAAAGUUUGCGGCUCAACCGUAAAAUUGCAGUUGAUACUGGCGACCUUGAGUGCAACAGAGGUAGGCGGAAUUCGUGGUGUAGCGGUGAAAUGCUUAGAUAUCACGAAGAACUCCGAUUGCGAAGGCAGCUUACUGGAUUGUAACUGACGCUGAUGCUCGAAAGUGUGGGUAUCAAACAGGAUUAGAUACCCUGGUAGUCCACACAGUAAACGAUGAAUACUCGCUGUUGGCGAUAUACUGUCAGCGGCCAAGCGAAAGCAUUAAGUAUUCCACCUGGGGAGUACGCCGGCAACGGUGAAACUCAAAGGAAUUGACGGGGGCCCGCACAAGCGGAGGAACAUGUGGUUUAAUUCGAUGAUACGCGAGGAACCUUACCCGGGCUUAAAUUGCAACUGACGGAACCGGAAACGGUUCUUUCUUCGGACAGUUGUGAAGGUGCUGCAUGGUUGUCGUCAGCUCGUGCCGUGAGGUGUCGGCUUAAGUGCCAUAACGAGCGCAACCCUUACGGGUAGUUACCAUCAGGUUAUGCUGGGGACUCUACCCGGACUGCCGUCGUAAGAUGUGAGGAAGGUGGGGAUGACGUCAAAUCAGCACGGCCCUUACGUCCGGGGCUACACACGUGUUACAAUGGGGGGUACAGAAGGCAGCUACACGGCGACGUGGUGCUAAUCCCAAAAGCCUCUCUCAGUUCGGAUUGGAGUCUGCAACCCGACUCCAUGAAGCUGGAUUCGCUAGUAAUCGCGCAUCAGCCACGGCGCGGUGAAUACGUUCCCGGGCCUUGUACACACCGCCCGUCAAGCCAUGAAAGCCGGGGGUACCUGAAGUACGUAACCGCGAGGAGCGUCCUAGGGUAAAACUGGUGAUUGGGGCUAAGUCGUAACAAGGUAGCCGUACCGGAAGGUGCGGCUGGAACACCUCCUU